ensembl:lncRNA LINC02389 long intergenic non-protein coding RNA 2389
AAAACAAGAAGAGCUGUGUCACCAAGUUCCAUAAAAUCUGGGAGCCCAAGCAGCAUAUUUGUGGGAUUUGUCUGACAGAACGCAAUGGAAACAGAGCGUGGCAUUCGCUCCAUCUCCCCCAGAUGUUCCAUAAGUUUCUGCUUCCAUCAGCAAUGUAAGGAAGUGCCCAAUUCCUCCUACCCCCACAUUACUGAGAAUCUUAUCAAAUUUUUUGAUCUUUUCUGAUUGGGCAAGGAAAGCAUCUUUUGGGACCAUCAAAUGCAUCCUGUUCCUGAAGGAGCAGAAACAGUGAAAGCGGACACUUGUCUCAGCUGGCCUCUGUCUCUAGCAUGAAAUCCCUGGAGAGUGAUUUUGCAGCCCCUCUUCCAGAACACAGCAGGUAAAGGAAGAUUUUCAUGAUUCACUGACUGAGGACAAUCAAAUUCUUCACCACGUAGAACCUAGACAUUGGGUCUUUGGAAAGGACAUCAGAGAAAGACUGCCAUUAAGCUCCAUUGGAAGAGACCAUAUCAAGUUCUUUUCUGCAGCAAACCAUCAGGCUCUCAAGUCUUGGAUCUAUGUCUCUCAACUCAAAAGAGCUCCUCCAGACUCCUGGAACUGUAUACCUAUUGGAGACUCUAAGGUAAAGCUCACCAGGGAAGAUUUCCCCCAGGAGCAGUUGGCAUCCUAGACUUCAACAGCUUUCGUAAGAUUGUGGAUCAAGACUUCUCUGCCAUCAUGAAAGUCUUAUCUUUUCCCUUUCUUCCCAAUUUCCUGCUGUCCCAGUCCCUUUCUUUUACUUAUAGGAAAAUCCAUGGGGCCAUAAUCUGUGGAUGGCUUUAGCUAAGUCUUAUGCUGUAGUGAAAAAACAGAGCAAUUGUUGGGUUUAUGAAGAUAAGCUAGUUUCUACUGAGGAAAGAUUCCAGUGGCAUUCCUGGGGGCUCAGUCUUGGUACUAGCAGGGUACUGGUAGUAUGGAAUUUGAAAGUAAUCCAUAAAAUGAGAAAAAUCUUGGGUUUGACCAACCAGUCCCCACAGAGGUUCAGGUGAGUAGAAGUCAUCUUUUGAAAACACUUAAUAAAACAUCAUGCAGUUUUGGAUCCUGUUUCCUUAGACACUGCCACCAAAUACAUAAAGGAAAUUUCUCAGAGGAAAGAAACAUAUGACAUGUUCAUAGGAGCAGCAAACCAUUGGUUUGCAGGUAGGCUUGGCUUUUCCAAGGUGUUCUAACCUUUAUGCUCUUCUAAUGGUUCUCCAGAUUACUAUGACUUGUGUUAACAAGAUAAUGACAACAUUGGAUACCUCUUUAAAUCAGCAAACUGCAGUUCUUAAUCAUUAUCACCUCCUGAACAAAAACCAUGACCAACGGUACUCAAAUGCUUUUGAGCUGCCUGUAAGGGAGGAGACCACCCCUCAUAUUGUCUUAUGCCCAAUUUCUGCCUCCAAAUAAAGAAGAAGUAAAAACUAAAAGGCAGAAACGAAAUCCACAAGCAGACAGCCCGGUGCCACACCCUGGGCCUGGUAGUUAAAGAUCGAUGCCUGACCUAAUCAGUUAUGUUAUCUAUAGAUUACAGAUAUCGUAUAGGAAAGCACUGUGAAAAUCCCUGUCCUGUUUUGUUCCGAUCUAAUUACCAGUGCAUGCAACCCCCAGUCAUGUACCCCUGGCUUGCUCAAUCGAUCACAACCCUCUCAAGUGGACCCCCU